rnacentral:rRNA from 1 species
UACGUAGGGGGCAAGCGUUGUCCGGAAUCAUUGGGCGUAAAGCGCGUGUAGGCGGUUCAGUAAGUCCGCUCUGAAAGCCCAGGGCUCAACCCUGGGAGGCGGGUGGAUACUACUGAACUAGAGUACGGAAGAGGAGAUUGGAAUUCCUGGUGUAGCGGUGAAAUGCGCAGAUAUCAGGAGGAACACCAACAGCGAAGGCAGAUCUCUGGGACGUAACUGACGCUGAGACGCGAAAGCGUGGGGAGCGAACAGG